rnacentral:rRNA from 1 species
AACGUAGGUGGCGAGCGUUAUCCGGAUUUACUGGGCGUAAAGGGUGUGCAGGCUGCCCCUCAAGUGGUGUAUGAAAGGGCUCGGCUCAACCGGGCUAGGUUAUGCCAGACUGAGGGGCUAGAGAGCGAGAGCGGGACGUGGAAUUCCGGGUGUAGUGGUGAAAUGCGUAGAGAUCCGGAGGAACCCCAGAGGCGAAGGCGGCGUCCUGGCCCGCAUCUGACGCUCAGACACGACAGCAUGGGGAGCGAACGGG